GGGGAUGAUCGGUUUCGACAUUGCCUGACCGACCGCGAGAAGCGGGCCGAGGAUGACGCCUUAUCUCGUAAACGAUGACGUCAACCAAUAAGUGCGAAUUCCAAGCGCGCUGACUUCGCUCUCGCCGCCUGAUCGGCUAGGGCCAUAAAGUCCGUCACCCCGGGAAUGCCUCCUACCCGGUGCGUGGCGUCAUCCAGGGGGCUCGCUCCGCGAUCGCGCCUCAGGGCCGCGGGGGACUCGCACUGAGACUGGGCCGGUCGACGCAGGUGCUCAUGCCAAGCGUCGCGGCCGAGCAGAACGAUCAUGAGCUGCGCCCGGAGAAGGCGCGGGCCCUCAGCAGUGGACCCGGGUUCGAUUCCCGGCAUCUCCACCA
rnacentral:tmRNA from 1 species